rnacentral:rRNA from 1 species
UACAGAGGUCCCAAGCGUUGUUCGGAUUCAUUGGGCGUAAAGGGUGCGUAGGUGGCGCGGUAAGUCGGGUGUGAAAUCUCGGAGCUUAACUCCGAAACUGCAUUCGAUACUGCCGUGCUUGAGGACUGGAGAGGAGACUGGAAUUUACGGUGUAGCGGUGAAAUGCGUAGAUAUCGUAAGGAAGACCAGUGGCGAAGGCGGGUCUCUGGACAGUUCCUGACGCUGAGGCACGAAGGUCAGGGGAGCAAACGGG